AAUUUUAAGGUCAAGCUACAAAGGGCGCAUGGUGAAUGCCUUGGCACUAGGAGCCGAAGAAGGACGCGAUAAGCUGCGAUAAGCCUUGGGUAGCCGCAAAUAGGCUGAGAUCCAGGGAUUUCUGAAUGGGGAAACUCACAUGGGUAACCCCAUGUAUUAUGCACUGAAUACAU
rnacentral:rRNA from 1 species